CAGCCGCCGCGGUAAUACGAAGGGUGCAAGCGUUACUCGGAAUUACUGGGCGUAAAGCGUGCGUAGGUGGUGGUUUAAGUCCGUUGUGAAAGCCCUGGGCUCAACCUGGGAAUUGCAGUGGAUACUGGGUCACUAGAGUGUGGUAGAGGAUAGUGGAAUUUCCGGUGUAGCAGUGAAAUGCGUAGAGAUCGGAAGGAACAUCUGUGGCGAAGGCGACUAUCUGGGCCAACACUGACACUGAGGCACGAAAGCGUGGGGAGCAAACAGGAUUAGAUACCCCCGUAUCCCUGUCUCUUAUACA
rnacentral:rRNA from 1 species